GAAUAAGUGAAUAUUUUUGGUUUAAUAGUUAAAUAUACUGAAUUUUUAUAUUUAAUAUUUUUAGGUGAAAUUUUAAUUUUAAUUAUAAAUAAUUUAAUUGAAGCUAUGAAAUUUAUAUUAAAAACAAGGAUUAGAUACCCUUUUUUUUAGAUGUUAAUAUUAACCAGGGUAGUAAUAGUUAUGUUCUUGAAACCCAUAGAAUUUGGCGGUAUUUUAUUCUUUUUAGAGGAACCUGUCCUGUAAUCGAUAGUCCACGAGGUUAUUUACUUAUUUUUGUUUUCAGUUUGUAUACCUCCGUCAUAAGAGUAUCUUUUUAGAGAUAAUAUUCUAUUAAUAUUAAAUAUAAUAUGUCAGGUCAAGGUGCAAUUUAUGAAUAAGGAGAGAUGGGUUACAAUAAAUUUAUUUAUAUGGAUUGUAAUAAUUAUUAUUAUAUGAAGGUGGAUUUAAAAGUAAAAUUAAUUUCUUAUUAAUUUGAUUUUAGCUCUAAAAUAUGCACACAUCGCCCGUCGCUCUYAUUUUAAAAUAAGAUAAGUCGUAACAUAGUAGGAGUAUCGGAAGAUGCUCCUAGGAAGUUUG
rnacentral:rRNA from 1 species